rnacentral:rRNA from 1 species
CCUACGGGAGGCAGCAGUGAGGAAUAUUGGUCAAUGGGCGAGAGCCUGAACCAGCGAAGUCGCGUGAAGGAUGACGGUCCUACGGGUUGUAAACUUCUUUUGUCAGGGAGCACAUGUGUCCACGUGUGGUCUUAGCGAGAGUACCUGAAGUAAAAGCAUCGGCUAACUCCGUGCCAGCAGCCGCGGUAAUACGGAGGGUGCGAGCGUUAUCCGGAUGUAUUGGGUUUAAGGGGUGCGCAGGCGGGCUGUUACGCCGGCGGGAAAAAUUCAGGGCUCAACCCUGUCGAGCCGUCGUAACUGGCAGUCUAGAGUGGGAGAGAAGUAAGCGGAAUGCGUGGUGUAGCGGUGAAAUGCAUAGAUAUCACGCAGAACGCCGAUUGCGAAGGCAGCAUACCGGCGCCCAACUGACGCUGAGGGACGAAAGCGUGGGGAUCGAACAGGAUUAGAUACCCUUGUAGUC